GAAUUCUGUCGGAUAAUCGCGCGAACCUUUGGGGAGUGAGGAAAGUCCGGACACCGUGGAAUGAAUGAACCGGAUAACGUCCGGAGUAAGUUUUUCGAAAGAGAAGCUUGCAUGGAAAGUGCCACAGAAAAUAUACCGCCUCCUAAAAGUGGCAAAAGUUGCUUAAGUAGCCAAGCUGCAGUGGAGGUAAGGGUGAAAUGGUGGGGUAAGAGCCCACCGCCUCUUUCGUAAGAAAGAGGGCAGGGUAAACCCUUCAUGGUGCAAUCUCAAGUAUGCAACCGUUAUGAGCUCAUUCCGCCAGGUUGCGGGUAGAGAGCAAAGAGCUUUAGAGUAAUCUAAAGCCAAGAUAAAUGAUUAUCUACUGCCUGUGAGGUUAAUACUCAUUAGGCAGAGACAGAAUCCGGCUUAUAGACAGAAUUCAUUU
rnacentral:RNase_P_RNA from 1 species